CAGAAAGUUACACCUAUUGUAAGUAUUAAACCAGAUAAUGUAAUCUAUAUGUAUAUACCAGAAAAUUACACCUAUUGUAAGUAUUAAACCAGAUAAUGUAAUUUAUAUGUAUA